rnacentral:rRNA from 1 species
CUGAUGGAGCAACGCCGCGUGAGUGAAGAAGGUUUUCGGAUCGUAAAGCUCUGUUGUUGGUGAAGAAGGAUAGAGGUAGUAACUGGCCUUUAUUUGACGGUAAUCAACCAGAAAGUCACGGCUAACUACGUGCCAGCAGCCGCGGUAAUACGUAGGUGGCAAGCGUUGUCCGGAUUUAUUGGGCGUAAAGCGAGCGCAGGCGGAAAAAUAAGUCUAAUGUGAAAGCCCUCGGCUUAACCGAGGAACUGCAUCGGAAACUGUUUUUCUUGAGUGCAGAAGAGGAGAGUGGAACUCCAUGUGUAGCGGUGGAAUGCGUAGAUAUAUGGAAGAACACCAGUGGCGAAGGCGGCUCUCUGGUCUGCAACUGACGCUGAGGCUCGAAAGCAUGGGUAGCGAACAGGAUUAGAUACCCUGGUAGUCCAUGCCGUAAACGAUGAGUGCUAAGUGUUGGGAGGUUUCCGCCUCUCAGUGCUGCAGCUAACGCAUUAAGCACUCCGCCUGGGGAGUACGACCGCAAGGUUGAAACUCAAAGGAAUUGACGGGGGCCCGCACAAGCGGUGGAGCAUGUGGUUUAAUUCGAAGCAACGCGAAGAACCUUACCAGGUCUUGACAUCUAGUGCAAUCUGUAGAGAUAUGGAGUUCCCUUCGGGGACGCUAAGACAGGUGGUGCAUGGCUGUCGUCAGCUCGUGUCGUGAGAUGUUGGGUUAAGUCCCGCAACGAGCGCAACCCUUGUUAUUAGUUGCCAGCAUUAAGUUGGGCACUCUAAUGAGACUGCCGGUGACAAACCGGAGGAAGGUGGGGAUGACGUCAAGUCAUCAUGCCCCUUAUGACCUGGGCUACACACGUGCUACAAUGGGCA